AGCGUACACGGUGGAUGCCCUGGCAGUCAGAGGCGAUGAAGGACGUGCUAAUCUGCGAUAAGCGUCGGUAAGGUGAUAUGAACCGUUAUAACCGGCGAUUUCCGAAUGGGGAAACCCAGUGUGUUUCGACACACUAUCAUUAACUGAAUCCAUAGGUUAAUGAGGCGAACCGGGGGAACUGAAACAUCUAAGUACCCCGAGGAAAAGAAAUCAACCGAGAUUCCCCCAGUAGCGGCGAGCGAACGGGGAGCAGCCCAGAGCCUGAAUCAGUGUGUGUGUUAGUGGAAGCGUCUGGAAAGGCGCGCGAUACAGGGUGACAGCCCCGUACACAAAAAUGCACAUGCUGUGAGCUCGAUGAGUAGGGCGGGACACGUGGUAUCCUGUCUGAAUAUGGGGGGACCAUCCUCCAAGGCUAAAUACUCCUGACUGACCGAUAGUGAACCAGUACCGUGAGGGAAAGGCGAAAAGAACCCCGGCGAGGGGAGUGAAAAAGAACCUGAAACCGUGUACGUACAAGCAGUGGGAGCACGCUUAGGCGUGUGACUGCGUACCUUUUGUAUAAUGGGUCAGCGACUUAUAUUCUGUAGCAAGGUUAACCGAAUAGGGGAGCCGAAGGGAAACCGAGUCUUAACUGGGCGUUAAGUUGCAGGGUAUAGACCCGAAACCCGGUGAUCUAGCCAUGGGCAGGUUGAAGGUUGGGUAACACUAACUGGAGGACCGAACCGACUAAUGUUGAAAAAUUAGCGGAUGACUUGUGGCUGGGGGUGAAAGGCCAAUCAAACCGGGAGAUAGCUGGUUCUCCCCGAAAGCUAUUUAGGUAGCGCCUCGUGAAUUCAUCUCCGGGGGUAGAGCACUGUUUCGGCAAGGGGGUCAUCCCGACUUACCAACCCGAUGCAAACUGCGAAUACCGGAGAAUGUUAUCACGGGAGACACACGGCGGGUGCUAACGUCCGUCGUGAAGAGGGAAACAACCCAGACCGCCAGCUAAGGUCCCAAAGUCAUGGUUAAGUGGGAAACGAUGUGGGAAGGCCCAGACAGCCAGGAUGUUGGCUUAGAAGCAGCCAUCAUUUAAAGAAAGCGUAAUAGCUCACUGGUCGAGUCGGCCUGCGCGGAAGAUGUAACGGGGCUAAACCAUGCACCGAAGCUGCGGCAGCGACGCUGAUGCGUUGUUGGGUAGGGGAGCGUUCUGUAAGCCUGUGAAGGUGUGCUGUGAGGCAUGCUGGAGGUAUCAGAAGUGCGAAUGCUGACAUAAGUAACGAUAAAGCGGGUGAAAAGCCCGCUCGCCGGAAGACCAAGGGUUCCUGUCCAACGUUAAUCGGGGCAGGGUGAGUCGACCCCUAAGGCGAGGCCGAAAGGCGUAGUCGAUGGGAAACAGGUUAAUAUUCCUGUACUUGGUGUUACUGCGAAGGGGGGACGGAGAAGGCUAUGUUGGCCGGGCGACGGUUGUCCCGGUUUAAGCGUGUAGGCUGGUUUUCCAGGCAAAUCCGGAAAAUCAAGGCUGAGGCGUGAUGACGAGGCACUACGGUGCUGAAGCAACAAAUGCCCUGCUUCCAGGAAAAGCCUCUAAGCAUCAGGUAACAUCAAAUCGUACCCCAAACCGACACAGGUGGUCAGGUAGAGAAUACCAAGGCGCUUGAGAGAACUCGGGUGAAGGAACUAGGCAAAAUGGUGCCGUAACUUCGGGAGAAGGCACGCUGAUAUGUAGGUGAAGUCCCUCGCGGAUGGAGCUGAAAUCAGUCGAAGAUACCAGCUGGCUGCAACUGUUUAUUAAAAACACAGCACUGUGCAAACACGAAAGUGGACGUAUACGGUGUGACGCCUGCCCGGUGCCGGAAGGUUAAUUGAUGGGGUCAGCGCAAGCGAAGCUCUUGAUCGAAGCCCCGGUAAACGGCGGCCGUAACUAUAACGGUCCUAAGGUAGCGAAAUUCCUUGUCGGGUAAGUUCCGACCUGCACGAAUGGCGUAAUGAUGGCCAGGCUGUCUCCACCCGAGACUCAGUGAAAUUGAACUCGCUGUGAAGAUGCAGUGUACCCGCGGCAAGACGGAAAGACCCCGUGAACCUUUACUAUAGCUUGACACUGAACAUUGAGCCUUGAUGUGUAGGAUAGGUGGGAGGCUUGGAAGUGUGGACGCCAGUCUGCAUGGAGCCGACCUUGAAAUACCACCCUUUAAUGUUUGAUGUUCUAACGUUGACCCGUAAUCCGGGUUGCGGACAGUGUCUGGUGGGUAGUUUGACUGGGGCGGUCUCCUCCUAAAGAGUAACGGAGGAGCACGAAGGUUGGCUAAUCCUGGUCGGACAUCAGGAGGUUAGUGCAAUGGCAUAAGCCAGCUUGACUGCGAGCGUGACGGCGCGAGCAGGUGCGAAAGCAGGUCAUAGUGAUCCGGUGGUUCUGAAUGGAAGGGCCAUCGCUCAACGGAUAAAAGGUACUCCGGGGAUAACAGGCUGAUACCGCCCAAGAGUUCAUAUCGACGGCGGUGUUUGGCACCUCGAUGUCGGCUCAUCACAUCCUGGGGCUGAAGUAGGUCCCAAGGGUAUGGCUGUUCGCCAUUUAAAGUGGUACGCGAGCUGGGUUUAGAACGUCGUGAGACAGUUCGGUCCCUAUCUGCCGUGGGCGCUGGAGAACUGAGGGGGGCUGCUCCUAGUACGAGAGGACCGGAGUGGACGCAUCACUGGUGUUCGGGUUGUCAUGCCAAUGGCACUGCCCGGUAGCUAAAUGCGGAAGAGAUAAGUGCUGAAAGCAUCUAAGCACGAAACUUGCCCCGAGAUGAGUUCU
rnacentral:rRNA from 2 species